rnacentral:rRNA from 1 species
UACGGGGGAGGCGAGCGUUGUUCGGAAUUACUGGGUGUAAAGGGCAUGUAGGCGGGAUUCUAAGUCAUUCGUGUAAUCCCUGGGCUUAACCCAGGGGCUGCGAUUGAUACUGGAAUUCUUGAGUGGAGGAGAGGAAAUCGGAAUACCCGGUGUAGCGGUGAAAUGCGUAGAUAUCGGGUAGAACACCAGUAGCGAAGGCGGAUUUCUGGACUCUAACUGACGCUGAGGUGCGAAAGCGUGGGGAGCAAAC